UACGUAGGGUGCGAGCGUUGUCCGGAAUUAUUGGGCGUAAAGAGCUCGUAGGCGGUGUGUCACGUCGGCCGUGAAAACCUGGGGCUUAACUCUGGGCGUGCGGUCGAUACGGGCAUCACUAGAGUUCGGCAGGGGAGACUGGAAUUCCUGGUGUAGCGGUGAAAUGCGCAGAUAUCAGGAGGAACACCGGUGGCGAAGGCGGGUCUCUGGGCCGAUACUGACGCUGAGGAGCGAAAGCAUGGGUAGCGAACAGGG
rnacentral:rRNA from 1 species